CGAGCGGCGGGCCGAGGGAGGGCGCAGCAGCUGCUCCCUGAACACUUUCUGACCCAACAGUCCCCCAGCGCCGGACGCGCCGCGCCCUGGCGGCUCUAGGGACCCCCCCCGCGCCUGCACUUAGCCCCGCGCCCGAGUCCACAGACAAACGAAUUUAAAGGAGCAACCGAGGAGGCACCUGCGAAAGAAAGCCCACACACAGGUGAAUUUAAAGGAGCAGCCCUGGUGUCACCUAUCAGUAAAAGACUAUUUGGAGUUUUCCUCGUCUUACUGGAUGUCACUCUCGUCCUUGCCGACCUAAUUUUCACUGACAGCAAACUUUAUAUUCCUUUGGAGUAUCGUUCUAUUUCUCUAGCUAUUGCCUUAUUUUUUCUCAUGGAUGUUCUUCUUCGAGUAUUUGUAGAAGGGUCAACGCCACCGCCUCUGCACUGCCUUCCUGGCCAUCAUCCCAGGUAGAGCUGCCCUCUUCCUUCUCCGCAGCUUUUCUCAUCCUGCAAAGCAAGGGUGUUGGAGCGGGCCGGAGAGAAGUAGAGUGGGCUGCGAGGAGAAGGAAACAGGCCUUUCGGAGGCUCCUCAUCCCUCGGAGGUCAUCCCUUACUCCAGGCACAGGUGUGCGCACUUCGCAUCUCGAAGGCCGGCCAGCAAGCUUCAGACGGAGGCUCACUCUGUUGCUGGCACGAUCUCGGCUCACUGCAACCUC
rnacentral:lncRNA from 10 species